rnacentral:lncRNA from 1 species
CGGACUAAUGGAUGUGAUGUCAGAAAGAUUAUUUGGUUUGUCGAGCUCCGACAUGAUGAUAUGUUAGAUACACAAAGAAGACAGUUCCUUCUUCUUCUUCAACUUUUGUUCUUUUUUUUUUCUUUCUGUUUUGAUUCCUUUGAGAGAAAGAAAAUGAGAGGUGAAUUAGAGUUGUAUGUGUGGUCUUGGCCUUCAACGAAAAAGACGGAUAACUUCUCACUUUGAUUGUUGCUUUUUCCUUAUUUAUCUUUUUAUUCCACUAGUGAAAGAGAAAGAGGG